rnacentral:lncRNA from 1 species
UUGAGCGAAGUUUUAUAUAUAAUCAAAUAUUUAAGGCAAAAGGUCAUACGGCAAUUUUCAACCUAGCGAUAGAGAACAAAUUACAAAACAAAUUAUUUUCUACUUUGGAGUAAAAACAGCGGUUUUACUAUGACUACGCUCAGACAUCAAAUAGCAAGUUUGCAACCAAAAAAAUUCGCUUUGUGCUUCUUUCCUCUUGAUAAUUCACUGGAGCCAUGCAAGAUGUCAUUGAUUAAAGAGGGGUCAGCACGUGAGGGAAAAAUGGUUCGGCUUUAUUGGG